AUAUCGGUCAUCUAAUUAGUGGCUCCUGCUAGAAAUGAUUCAUAACAACAAUGUUUUCCUAAUGUGUAUCUGUCUGUAGUUUCCCUAAUUGUGUAUCUGUCUAUAAUUUGUGAAAUAUAUUAUAAAACUUCACAUAUUUAGACUUUAAAGAAAUUAAAUUCCUUCACAUAAUCAAAAUAUGCCAUUUACAGUAUUCCUAUGUCUGCUUUUCUGAUAAUAAUUGCACUAAUUGUUACUAAGAAAAAAUACAGAACGAUGUUACUUAAAUUUAGGAAAACAAUUACUUUUUUCAGUUUUGGUGUAUGAUAUUUUAAUCAAUUUGUAAUAUUUAAAAGGUACAAAUAACUCAUUAACCAAGAAGGGAGGUAGGAUUGAAUGAAUGAACUUUCUAGAAUCACAGAUUUUUAAAUGAUAAAAAUGCAAAGCUGUCAUUUUUUGUCUUUCUGUCUCAGUUUUGUAUGUAUUCCGUAGCCUGGGAUGCUGAUUGCAUCCCGAAGUUAUCUUUAUAACUUUAAAUCUAUUAUGGUAAGAUAAAGGGCUAUUUAUUUAAAUUUCGGCUUCAGUAUAUAUUUAGAGUGUGCUCUUUUGGUGGCUUAAAAGCACCUUUAUCCCUGCUAGCAAGCAAUAAUCAAAUAUAAACUCCAUAGUGCUGCUGAUUGAAAUCUCAGGAUUCGUAUUUUCUAACAGCUUGGGGUAGUUAUUCUUAAGAUACUCCUUUUGAUUUAAUAAAUUUACAGUGUUGGUAUCAAUCAGAAAUCCAAGAUCUUCUUGGGGAGAGUUUUGUGCAGUUACGAUGUCUUUGGAUUUCAGAAUCUACUCGAGGGUUCUGGAACAAGUGCUUCCUAAUGCCAGAAAUCCUUCCGUUUCUGUCCUUUUAUAUGUUAGGCUUAUUCUGAGAAGCUAACUCUCAUUCUGCUUAUUCUAAUUAUUCAAAAUUUAAGGUUCAUCUUGGGAAAGAUUAAUUUCAGUUACGGUAGACGUGCUUCCUAGUGGGAAAGGUGGCAUUGUCGUCUAGGCCCGUUGUGUGUCAGGUAAGUCAUAAACCUGGUGACAACACUUGGGGGACAGAAUUCUCUGAGAAGAAGGAUCUGCUUUUAUGAAGGCUCUUUAUGGUUAUCUAAAAGGGCUCUGGGAUUUCCUUUCCUUCCUCCCUUUCCUUCCUCCCCUGCUUUGUUCCUUUCUGUCCCCUCCUUGUUUAUAGCUUCUUUCCUCCUUUUCUCCCUCCCUUCCUUCUCACCCCCACCAAGUCCUUAGUGCAUGUGUAUAAGCUCUGCUGAUCUCUGAACAUGGCAAUUAACAUUUUUGUCUUUAUAAACUUCAGCUUCCAACAGACACAGGCUACUCCAGGGUUGAGUAUUCCAGCUUUUUUUCUUGGAUCCUUGAUAAAAUCAGCAGCUAUGAGAGGUAAUUUUGGCUACUCUAGUGUUUCAGUUACAAACAUUAGAAACCUGGGGGUGCAAAGCUCCCGUACGAUUUAAGGAGACACUGUGAGUCAAAGAUAUGAUUUGAAAAUAUUAUGUCCAUCCUCCAGUCUUCGAAUUGAGCAGAGUCCAUGAAGAUGGCUAUCGAGGUGCAGGAGUAAAACAGGACCCCCAAUAUUUCAUGGAAAUAAAAAUAAAACAAACGUAGAUUUGGGUGGUGUAGAGCCUAGAGGCUACAUGGACAAAUAGACAAGCCCAAUUUACUUUCCUGCCUACAAUGCUGAUGUGUUUCUCAACCAAAAUGAGUUUAUCAAUGAACUCAACCCUCAGUGAAGAGGACAGAAAGCAAAUUACACCUUUAUAUUUUUCCAAGGCUUAAAGGAUAUAAAGGGCAGGGAAAGAAAGGCAGCAAUGAAUCUUGCUUCUGUAGUUUAUACAAAACACAGAUGUCUCUGUUAUCGAGGGAAAGGCCUGAAAAGCACCCUCUCUCUCCCUGACUUAUCCACAAAGAAUACAAUUAAAAAUAUGAACAAAAGUAAUCUUUGUGGAACAUCAUCGGGUUGAAAUUCACCAUGAUAUCCUUGACUGCCAAUUCCCAGAGAAUUUGGGAGAAAUUACAUUGAGUCUAGGGGUCUGUGGUUCAAGGUUAACAGAAUAUACCCAGGAGAAGCAAAAGCGUGACUUCAGCAGGCAGCAGAAAGGUGCGGGGAGUUCGUGAAGGGGAUCUGAUGGCUCCAGUGGAAACCGGUUUCCUCCAGCAGUUGGCCCCCAAGCCACGAUCAAGUACUGUGGUUCUGGGGUGCCGGGAAGAAGGGAGGUAGUGAGUUUGGGGUGCCUUUCAGGGUUAACCAUGUGGCUUUCAGAAAGUCCAUUUCAGGGCCCCGGACUGAGCAUCGCUCAUGCCAGGAGCAUUGCUCUUUCUGGCCUCAGAAUCUGCUCAAAUGUGGCCGGUGGCAGAGACCCACUUCAAGGACAGUGAGGGCAUGAAGAACGGCAGGAGCCAGCAGCCGACCACCUCAGCAAGAGGAUGGCCCCACUUCCUGUUCAGGGGACGUGGCUCUGGCAUGUGCCAUGCCGCAGGGCAGCAGAGGCUGCCUAGGGGUUCUCUACUUCAGCAUCCAAGAGGCAGAGCGCCCACCUGUGAGAGGCCAGGAGCCGGGUCUCCGAGGGCCGGCUCAGCAGACGGGGGACGUCGGUGAGGAACUCAAGGACUCUGGUCAAGCAGAAGCCCAGGAAACGGCAGCACGUCCGCCAGGAGAAGUCGGGUCAAGACUGCACGGUGAUGACCUUCCGUUAGCCGCGCGAGUGACCUCACUCUCAUUUUCACUUAUGAAAGGAUGCCAUUCCCUCCAGAUAGAUUCGAGAUAACUGGGUGAGGAAAAUGCAGUGUGUAUGCACAAUGGAGGAUUGUCCUGCCACAGUGAAGAAUGAAAUGUUGUCACCCAAGCAAAAUAAUGAAUAUGAUGUCAUGUGAAGUAAGCAAGCCGGAAGACAGGACAGGCCCUUUCCUCCGGGCAGUCCUCUCCAUACAAAUCUGCUCUUGUAACUCCCCUCGCCCCACAAAAGAAGAAGAAGAAGAAGAAGAAGAAGAAGAAGAAGAAGAAGAAGAAGAAGAAGAAGAAGAAGAAAAGAAAAAGAAAGGCAGGAAGUUGAGCUUUUGGUCUCCCAUGUCAGGAAGCCAAAGCUGUUGUCUGCGUGAGUCAGGCUUUUUCAGAGCAGCAGACGUUGGGCAUCAAAAGGCAAAGACAUGGAGGAAUAGAACAUGAAUCCCAUCCACUAAUGAUGCCCCGAACACCGAGCAGGGUGAUGGGGACUUGGGAGUGAGGAGGGACCUGCACAGACCUUGCUGAUGCUGAGGACAGCCUGGGAGCAGAGCCAGCAUGACUCACCUCCGUCCUUCACUCCCCCUGGGACGCCAGCCGCUCCUGCGCAAGCUGGGGCCUCUGCUCGCUGGCUGUGCUGCCUUCCCCGGGGCCUGCAAGGUGAUCGGAUCGCCAUUGUCCUCCACAUCAUGCCCGUGUCCUAAGCUUCCUUCUGUUCCCUUGUCAUGAUGGUCACCUCUGCCGAGGCCCGGGGCAGUGCUGGGCCCCAACACAGAGAGCCCAGAAGUGCCACGUCCCACCGCAGGCUGGGAUUGUGCUGUGCCACCGCCUGACGAGCACUGUCCUGACUCCCUCUGCAGGCAUGGCCCCCAGGUUCAGGGCUGGGCUACCGUGGCCCACGUGGGGGCUGUUUCCUGGCCCCCCACUUCUCUCCAUGUGUGAGUUGGGCACAACCUCUCUGCUCUCCUCCAAUCCCCAGGCGCGUGCAGACUUCCUGGCUCCAUUUCCCUCAAGAAGCCCAUGCUUCCCUUAGAAGUCCACACUCAGGAAAGCCUUCUGCAGCAGCCAGCCAGCCUCAUCCUCCUCCCACGGGACCCUGCCCAGGGGGUUCAGGAUCCUGAUUAGUAAACUGCACGCUGAUGAGCUAGGGGUGGAGCUAUGAGCUACUCAUUGGAAAGAAAUGUGGAAUUAGAGUGAGUUUAUAAAAUAGCAGAUAUUACUGUACUACUCGAACUACAUACCAAAUGACUCAGCUGACUCUCACGCAAGCCAAACAGGUUUGCUGGCCUCCUAACGUUCCCAGACAGGUCUGUCUCAAGAAAACACAUUAGAUUGGAAAACGGAACUUACAAAGCACCUGCAACAAAUAACAUUAUCUUCCCCACAAUAGUCAGUGUGACGGGUCUGACAUCAGCUGGCAGGCACAAAUAGGCUUAAUUAUUAACAGUAAUAAAUCAAGGAAGUAUUUAAACAUGUGAUCUAAUACGACUUUUCUGUGAUCUUGCUGUCAUCAGAGAAGACAAAUCUCUGAGCACAGUGCGGUGACUGCAUGCCAAGGAAGCUCGCCUUUGAUGGUGAGCUGUGACUUCCGCAAGCGAGCAUCACCGCUCAUUCAUGUGCUAAGGGGUUUCCUCACACACUUCGCACUGAACUAUUCAUUUAAAGGGCACAAAAACUGCUCAGGGAGCUCAGAGAAAACUCAGGACCUCCUUCGCGCUCAAGAAGCACUCUGAACACAUAUGCCUGCAUGUGUGUACCCUCUCCACCCUAGAACACAGACUAAAUUCUCUAAAUCUGGAGGUCACCAGCUCAUGGUCUUCCAAGCACAUUCAAACUGAAGACUUGAAGGUAUAUUUUCUUUGGCCAAUAGCAUUUAAACAUAGGGAGGAAUCUAGAUUUUUUAUUUCAUUUUGGAAAAUCAGGCAGGAGUGGGCAUUCCCAUAUAGCAACGGUUGGCUUUGUCUGCUACAUAGUUCACCCUGACCCUCUUCCCUUCUCCUCUAUUCCAGCAGCCUGAGUCACACGAAGCCCCCACCCGGCCCCCGGGCCUGAUAGGAGUUUGUGUCUUUCCCUUUGCCCUGCACAUCCCAAGCAGGUAUGAACAGCAGAGCACAGUGGACUGAAGGGUCAGGAAGGGUCAGAAAGGCAAAAUACUCAAAGACUGUUUCAUGUGUAUGGAAUUUAGCCUGGAAACUUGGAGCUGAAUUUAAGUGAACUUGGAACCAAAGGGGAAAAGGAACAUUCUUAGUAAGGGAAAAUAAGCUGAGUGAAGACAUCAAAGGAUGAGUGACCGUGGUACCUAGACCUCAGAGGUGGAGGUGGCCCCAUACGACCAGCAUUGCACGUGGAGGACCUAAAGGGCAACCCAGGAGGUCAGAAGUGGGGUGCAUCAGAAGGAAGGAGCACAGCGAAGGUGGUCAUUUGCAAGUCAUGGCAGGGAGGAGGCUGAGCAGCUCUGGGAAAGCCUGGACUUGGGCACUGGGUGGGCAAUGGGCACUGGGAUAGUGGCCAGGGGAGGAGUGAGGAGAAAGUCCUGGCUGGAGGUCACAGCACUGGGAAGGGGGAGGACUGCAGAAGAGACUCUGGUCUUCUGGGGCAGCUUGUUCCCAGGUUUGUGGCCAGCAUGACCUUAGAAUAUCAUUCUUAUUUCACAAAUUAAUCAGUGGUCAGUCCACUUGAGAAUAAAUACAUUUUAAAAUGUCCUUUGCACUCUGCUCAACUUCAAUUAAAGUUAUUUCUGAACCAAUUUCCUCUUCCAAAGACUUCUUCCUCUUGAAUUUUAUCACAUCCCCUCCUCUAGUAUCAACAAUUCUCUGUCCUGGGUUUGGGCCGCCUCAUAACACGUUUGUUUCAUAAUAGGUGAUGAUUUUUAAAAUGUAUUUUUUUUAAGGACAGUGGAUAUUGAUCAGGAUUUUGAAAUGAAAUCUGACAUUUUGAAUUGAGAAACUGUUCACUGGUCAAGCAGUCUGACAGAUGGAGGACCUUUGGGAUUAAUCUAAUGUCUGUGUUUUCUAACCUGUUGGAGAGGAAACGGAAGUCCAGUCCACGGAAGUGAUGAAAAGAACCAAUCAAAACGACCACUGAAAGCCGACCUCUGAUCGAAGGACAUACAGCGACAUUUGACCCUCGUUCAUCCUUUGCUCUGAUGUUCCGAACAGCACCAUGGGUCUCACGAUGCGUUUGCAGUUGGCUCAUCUUGCCGGUGAGGCUGGGGAGGGCAGGAGCUCAUUCUGUUUUGGUGACUGGACCCUCAGUCCCCGAAGUGCCCGGAGCACAGGAAGUACUAUGUCAAGUUAAAUAAAUCUGAUAAAUUACUGAACCUUUAAAAAAAUGCUUUCAGAUCUAGAACACUGUUUCCUGCCAAUUGCUUUCCAGCACACAGGGAAGGAGUGAUAUAUACGUGGAAAUAAAAAACAGAAGUGUUUUGCAAAACCAAUUCAUCACAGCAUCCCCUCGAGAUUUAUCCCUCUGUGCCAAGUCCGCAUGACACCCGUGGAGGAUGAUGAAGUGACAGAAGUCACUGCAGCCCGUAAAAAGGUGAAACCAACUAAGUCAGUACGUCGGAGGAUCCUCCUCAUGGCACUAAAUCACUCUGAUCGGCUCAAACAAUGUUUACUUCUGCAGGUGACUUGCUGCUGGGAAUUUAUCCUGCAUUCCCUUUAUUUAUGGUGAAACAAAAGUGACAUUACACUUUGUCAUGAAAGGA